AGGUUUUUUGGUCGCUUAAAUCUCGUGUGUGUGUGUGUAAGUGAAAUGCGCAGCAGCCCAGCCAAGGGUUUUGUUGUUGUUUAUUUUGAUUAAAACAAUAAAUAGCGGUUAAAUACAUAUGAAUAUUUAGUGGUUUUGUUGCAAUAAAGAGUGCUUUAUUUAAUGUAAAAUGAUCAACACACUUGGAAAUUGUGAUGGCGCAAGAGGCCUGUAUGUAAUAACUGUGUAUAUAAGUACAUAUGUAUAUACAUAUGUACGUUCUGUACGCAUUAAGUGUGUAUUUGCGUAUAAAAUCAAUCUUCCAACCACUUGAAGGUUGAUUUUCAUCAUCUUUUGGCACAGAUGGUUAAUAUUACAUUUGCACAAUAUAUGGAGAGCAAACCAUAGAAACUCAUUCAUAGUCUGUGCAUCAUCGACGACGACGUCUGCCCCGGCAUCAGGGGGCAUCAAACUGGAAUUGGAUUCAUCUGGAAGAGGCGGGUCAUAAUUGAAGAUAUGAUGCUCCAUGCCCCAUGCCCCAUGCUCCAGCCAUGAGCAAAGGUGACACCAAAGGGAAGACCUUCGACUGGCAAUAAAAUAAAUGCCAUUUACUGAUGAGUCAUCAGCAUAAUUUUUACGAUUUGUCCCAUUCGAUGAAUAAACAAAUAAACCAAUGGACACGGGAGCUGGGAGCUGGGACCCGGGACUCAGGACCCUCUGGAUUGGACUCUAGUUUGAGCGUGUCACGAAAACAUUUCGCAUGCAUUGACUUUUUAUGGCAGCCCCAAACCGAGUGAACCGAACGCACGAAUCGAAAAGCCACAUGGACCGACGAGAGAGAGAGAGACGGAGAGGGGCACACAGAGAGGGGUAUCCACAAAUAAUGCAAAAUCAUUUAGUGGAACUCCUAGGCACACACACCGUACAGAUGCUCGCACCCCCCUUCCGCCUCAAAGUCAUAAAAUCCGGCACCGAAUGAAAUUCUCAUCAAGACGCAAGUUGGCACAAUUUCAGUUUGGCGCUGAAGCAACUUGAAAACACGACCAAAAUGAGCCCGAAUCGCAGUAGGAGUCGUUGCCACAGCCCACAGGACUCUCGGCAGUGGUCAGGCAUGGGGCCAGUAUCGUGCUGCUGCCGCUGCCGCUGCUACUCCUGCUCCUGGCAAUCGCGCGUGACUAACGUAAUCAGCUCACGUAACGCCUGAAUGAGAUGAGAUGAAAUCAGCAUACACUCCGGGCCACGCAGGACUAUGCUCUCCUACGCUGCCGUCGCUCCGCACCGAUUCCGACUGCAUAAAUGUCGAAUUUAUACGAAAAUGAAGCGGCGCAGGCCAUUCGACCAGCUGCUGGGGCAUCAUUCACACGGCCACCAGAUGCUUUGAGGGGACUAACGGUUCCAAAAAUGGCAAUUUCCAUUCGAGAGCGAUCGUAGAGGGGGUCCAA